rnacentral:rRNA from 2 species
CUGGGCGUAAGCGCGCGUAGGUGGUUAAUUAAGUCAAAUGUGAAAUCCCCGAGCUUAACUUGGGAAUUGCAUUCGAUACUGGUUAGCUAGAGUAUGGGAGAGGAUGGUAGAAUUCCAGGUGUAGCGGUGAAAUGCGUAGAGAUCUGGAGGAAUACCGAUGGCGAAGGCAGCCAUCUGGCCUAAUACUGACACUGAGGUGCGAAAGCAUGGGGAGCAAACAGGAUUAGAUACCCUGGUAGUCCAUGCCGUAAACGAUGUCUACUAGCCGUUGGGGGAUUUGAUCCUUUAGUGGCGCAGCUAACGCGAUAAGUAGACCGCCUGGGGAGUACGGUCGCAAGACUAAAACUCAAAUGAAUUGACGGGGGCCCGCACAAGCGGUGGAGCAUGUGGUUUAAUUCGAUGCAACGCGAAGAACCUUACCUGGCCUUGACAUAGUAGAGACUUUCCAGAGAUGGAUUGGUGCCUUCGGGAAUCUACAUACAGGUGCUGCAUGGCUGUCGUCAGCUCGUGUCGUGAGAUGUUGGGUUAAGUCCCGCAACGAGCGCAACCCUUUUCCUUACUUGCCAGCAUUUCGGAUGGGAACUUUAAGGAUACUGCCAGUGACAAACUGGAGGAAGGCGGGGACGACGUCAAGUCAUCAUGGCCCUUACGGCCAGGGCUACACACGUGCUACAAUGGUCGGUACAAAGGGUUGCUACACAGCGAUGUGAUGCUAAUCUCAAAAAGCCGAUCGUAGUCCGGAUCGCAGUCUGCAACUCGACUGCGUGAAGUCGGAAUCGCUAGUAAUCGCGGAUCAGAAUGCCGCGGUGAAUACGUUCCCGGGCCUUGUACACACCGCCCGUCACACCAUGGGAGUUUGUUGCACCAGAAGUAGGUAGUCUAACCGCAAGGAGGACGCUUACCACGGUGUGGCCGAUGACUG